CACGUAGGGGCCAAGCGUUGUCCGGAAUCAUUGGGCGUAAAGCGCGUGUAGGCGGCUCGAUAAGUCUGCUGUGAAAGUCCAGGGCUCAACCCUGGGAUGCCGGUGGAUACUGUCGAGCUCGAGUCCGGAAGAGGCGAGUGGAAUUCCUGGUGUAGCGGUGAAAUGCGCAGAUAUCGGGAGGAACACCAAUGGCGAAGGCAGCUCGCUGGGACGGUACUGACGCUGAGACGCGAAAGCGUGGGGAGCAAACAGG
rnacentral:rRNA from 1 species